AAAAGAAACUAACAAGGAUUCCCCUAGUAGCGGCGAGCGAAGCGGGAAGAGCUCAAAUUUAUAAUCUGGCACCUUCGGUGUCCGAGUUGUAAUCUCUAGAAGUGUUUUCCGCGUUGGACCGCACACAAGUCUGUUGGAAUACAGCGGCACAGUGGUGAUACCCCCGUUCAUGGUGCGGACGCCCAGCGCUUUGUGAUACACUUUCAACGAGUCGAGUUGUUUGGGAAUGCAGCUCAAAUUGGGUGGUAAAUUCCAUCUAAAGCUAAAUAUUGGCGAGAGACCGAUAGCGAACAAGUACCGUGAGGGAAAGAUGAAAAGCACUUUGGAAAGAGAGUUAACAGUACGUGAAAUUGUUGGAAGGGAAACGCUUGAAGUCAGACUUGCUUGCCGGAGCUUGCUUCGGUUUGCAGGCCAGCAUCAGUUUUCCGGGGUGGAUAAUGACGGAUUGAAGGUGGCAGUCUCGGCUGUGUUAUAGCUUUCCGUUGGAUACACCCUGGGGGACUGAGGAACGCAGCGUGCUUUUUGCGAAAGACUCGUCUUUUUCACGCUUAGGAUGCUGGUGGAAUGGCUUUAAACGACCCG
rnacentral:rRNA from 1 species